GGAAUAAUACUUUAAAUAAAAGAUUUGAUUUGCAAUUAAAAAAUAGGUAUAUUCCUUUAUUCCA
rnacentral:tRNA from 2 species